rnacentral:misc_RNA from 1 species
AAAGCCUGCAACUUUUAUUUGAAACCAAUUACAUUUGUCUCUAGAAUGGAUGAAUUGGAGUUAAUACCAACCCUCGAAGGGGUUAUGGUACCAACAGACAAGCAACUAUAACCAACAUGCUUUACGAAUGAUGAACGCAUUUCCAUUCAAGAACCAGUAAAAUUUGAGCACCUUUUACAAAUGAUAUGACGAAAAUGAACCUAAUCUAUUGUAAUUCAGUCAUUAAAAAUACAUGGGAUGCAUGCAGCACAACCAAAAAUAAUCACCCCCUCCCCCUCCCUCCCCCAGCUCCCAACCCAAAAAUAAAAUAAAAGCUGGAUGAUACACUUGUUGAGUUUAGGAUUUCCCUUUCCUUGCCAUAGCUCUGAUCUACCAUUCAAUGGUAGCUGUUACAGAAAAAUUCACACCAAACCUAUGAUGAUCAUGGUACAAAAUUGUAAUUAAUUCUUGAGAUUUCCAUUUCUGUUUCUAGCAAGGGACACCCCCUAUUUAUUCAUUUCUCUUUUCUGGCCAAGGACUCUCCCUUGUACUCACAGCCUGCAGUAACCACAAAACCUGCUCCAACCUGACAAUCUUUCAGCCCAACUCGCUCUUGGAGAUGUACAUUGCUGCAAAUCACAGAACCUUGGAUGGAACAACCAUCUCCAAUGGUAACAUGGUUCAUGAUAACUGAAUUAACAACCUUCACAUUAGAACCUAUCCGGCAGUGACGACCAAUUACAGACCGUUUCACACUGCAUUUAUCACCCAUUUGUGAACCUUCCCCUAACAUACAAUGAGGCCCCACAGUAGUUUUUGAUCCAAGCUGUGCUGAAGGAUGGAUGAUGUUGUUACAAGUAGAGAAAGAAUAGCCAGACAGAUGAUUUGCCUCACCUAUGACAUCUCUGUUUAUAUCACUGAAUGCUUGAAUAGAAUUUAAGCGUGCACAGUACUUGUUGUUGCUUGCAAUAUAAGCACAGCAUUUAUGAAUUCUUCGAACAGAAGCAGAACCAUUAUGACCCGAUGCAUAAAGUUCAUGAAAGCUCGGUGUAGAAGCAUUGGCCAGUAUUUGAGAUACCACUACAUGGUUGUCCUGGGAACCAACCUUCACAUUUCCUUUUUCUUCUGCUUGCGAUACACCAUUUAGUAACAUCUCUGAUCUCAGCUGGCUCCGAACAAGAUAAGGCAGCACAUCCUGUUUUAAGCUUUGAAAGUUAUCCUUCUCUUCUAAAAUUUUUUGCAGAACAGACCUCUUGAACGCAUACAUAUGAGCAUCCAUUAGAUCAGUUCGUAUUUCCAUCUGCCCCACUGCACGAAGAAUACUCUUCUGAAUUCGAAUAUCUUUCUCAACUUCAGCUCCUGUUGCUAUAUGUAAUAAAAACUGCUUUGCAGGGUCCAGCCCAAUGAUAUUGUAUCGUCUUGGUUUCUUUAUUUUGUCCUUUCCAGCAGAGGACCCUGAUUCAGCAGGUCCACCAACAGGAGCAGAACAGAGCAUUGUAGUCACCACUGCAUCAUGCCGUCUGUGAGCAGCGGCAACUGCACCAGGAGGAACAUCAGAAACAAGAUCACCAGUCACAACCAAAAUGUCCUUUGCAGUCAAAUGGUGCGCAAUAGCCCGAAGAGCACCAGCGGUUCCAACAUCUUCUGGAACUGCAGCAACCUCAACGUGUAAUCGAUCAACAUAAGCACCUGAUAUCCAAGCACCAACAAGAAGAGCUGCAUCUUGCCCUUCAACCACCACAAUAAGAUCCUUGAGAUUGCUGAGUUCCAAUUGCUCCAAAACAUAAGAGAGAACAGGCCGGUUGGCCACCGGAAGCAGCGCUUUUGGGACCUCCUUAGAAACAAGAGGAACCAGUUUCUUUGUGGUGCCACCAGCUAAGACAACAACUUGGAAAUCCAUAUCUGAGAAAUAGUUAUGAAGGUAUCAAAAUUUGAAAGAAGAAAGGGUUGCAGAGAGCUCGAUGGCGGUGGGCUGUCUAUUCUUGUUACUGUUCGGAGCAGUGGAAUCGCUAUCGCUA